rnacentral:rRNA from 1 species
CCUACGGGUGGCAGCAGUGGGGGAUAUUGCACAAUGGGGGAAACCCUGAUGCAGCGACGCCGCGUGUGGGAAGACGGUCCUCUGGAUUGUAAACUACUGUCCUCAGGGACGAAGAUGACGGUACUUGGGGUGGAAGCUCCGGCUAACUACGUGCCAGCAGCCGCGGUAAUACGUAGGGAGCAAGCGUUGUCCGGAAUUACUGGGUGUAAAGGGAGCGUAGGCGGGUUGGCAAGUUGUGUGUUAAGUCUACCGCCUAAACGGGUAGUCGCACUCGAAACUGCUAUUCUUGAGUGAAGUAGAGGCAGGCGGAAUUCGUAGUGUAGCGGUGAAAUGCGUAGAUAUUAGGAAGAACACCAGUGGCGAAGGCAGCCUGCUAAGCUGUUACUGACGCUGAGGCUCGAAAGUGUGGGGAGCAAACAGGAUUAGAUACCCCUGUAGUC